GGGGUUGUGGCGCAGUGGUAGCGCGCCCGCUUUGCAUGGUGGAAUCUUCCAUCGCUCAAGCCUUGCGGAAGGUCUCCGGUUCGAUCCCGGACUUCUCCA